CCUACGGGAGGCAGCAGUGGGGAAUAUUGCACAAUGGGGGAAACCCUGAUGCAGCGACGCCGCGUGAGUGAAGAAGUAAUUCGUUAUGUAAAGCUCUAUCAGCAGGGAAGAAAAUGACGGUACCUGAGGAAGAAGCCCCGGCUAACUACGUGCCAGCAGCCGCGGUAAUACGUAGGGGGCAAGCGUUAUCCGGAUUUACUGGGUGUAAAGGGAGCGUAGACGGCAGUGCAAGUCUGGAGUGAAAGGGGGGGGCUCAACCCCCGGACUGCUCUGGAAACUGGACGGCUGGAGUGCAGGAGAGGUAAGUGGAAUUCCUAGUGUAGCGGUGAAAUGCGUAGAUAUUAGGAGGAACACCAGUGGCGAAGGCGGCUUACUGGACUGUAACUGACGUUGAGGCUCGAAAGCGUGGGGAGCAAACAGGAUUAGAUACCCCUGUAGUC
rnacentral:rRNA from 1 species